rfam:Otolemur garnettii contig139811, whole genome shotgun sequence.
GCCACACGCACUGGCAUGCACCUAUAGUCCCAGCUACUAGGGAGGCUGAGAUAAGGAGGAUCAUUUGAGUCCAGGAGUUCUGGGCUGUAUUGCACUAUGCCAAUCAGGUGUCCAAACUAAGUUCGGCAUUAAUAUUGUGACCUCCUGAGAGUGGGAGCCCACCAGGUUGCCUAAGGAGGGGUGAACCGGCCCAGGUCAGAAAUGGAGGUCAAAACUCCCAUGCUGAUCAGUAGUGAGAGUGCACCUGUCAAUAGUCACUGCACUCCAGCCCGGGCAACAUAGUGAGACCCUGCCUCUU